rnacentral:rRNA from 1 species
GAUAAACGCUGGCGGCGUGCCUAACACAUGCAAGUCGAACGAUCCCGCAAGGGAGAGUGGCGGAAGGGUGAGUAACACGUGGGAAUCUACCUCCUCGCAGGGAACAACCUCUCGAAAGAGAGGCUAAUACCCAAAGGGUCAGAAAUGAUCAGAGUCGAAAGGCGUGAGGAGAGGAGCCCGCGGCCCAUCAGCUAGUUGGUGAGGUAAUGGCUUACCAAGGCUACGACGGGUAGGGGAUCUGAGAGGAUGUCCCCCACACUGGAACUGAAACACGGUCCAGACGCCUACGGGUGGCAGCAGUGAGGAAUAUUGGACAAUGGGCGAAAGCCCGAUCCAGCAACGCCGCGUGGAGGAUGAAGGCC